rnacentral:rRNA from 1 species
UACGGAGGGUGCGAACGUUGUUCGGAAUCACUGGGCUUAAAGGGCGCGUAGGCGGCUCUCUUGGUCGUGGGUGAAAUCCCCCAGCUUAACUGGGGAAGGGCUUACGAUACCGGGGGGCUCGAGGGAGGAAGGGGCGGUCGGAACUGUCGGUGGAGCGGUGAAAUGCGUUGAUAUCGACAGGAACGCCGGUGGCGAAAGCGGACCGCUGGCCCUCUUCUGACGCUGAGGCACGAAAGCUAGGGUAGCAAACGGG